AGCUCAUCAGCAUCACCAGCAUCGCCAGCCUCACCAGCAUUAUCACCAUCACCACGACCACCAACCCCCCCCCAACCAUCACUCACCGCAUCAUUACGUCACCGCCUUCAUCUUCGUUGCAUCAUCAUCGUAUCACGGUCAGCAGCACCACCGCAUGAUUACAUCACAACCUUCAUCUUCGCUGCAGCAUCACACCAGAAUCACCACCAUCACUUGCAUCAUCAUCAUAACAUCACGACCACCAUCACCUCGCCUCUGCGGACGGAAGCGCGGGCAGCGAUGGCAACCUCUUCCAACGCCCUCCACCCCUUCACCACUUCUGCUGGCUGUCUGCCACCUCUUCUCACGCCCAUCGUCACCCAGCAUCACUCACAUCCUCGCCGUUCCCCCAGGAUACAAGGGCGCUGUUAUCCUGCUACCACGAAUACGGCCACGAGACUCGGUCCAGUCACGACAGAAGAGACGUCGACAACGGGCAGCAGCAGAGGCGAUGCAACGCACGCGCGCACAUCGCUUCUUGACAGGCCUAAGUGACCGCAGCGUUCGUGAACUCAAGUUCGCCACCUGCAGGGCGAGUCGCAAGUGUCGGAUCCAGUAAAACACCAGGAGGAUAUCAUGGGGGGCCUUGACUCGGGCACUGCUGCGCUACAGAUGCCCUCGGGAAAGCCCAGGCUCCUUUGAGGCCGCAACAAACUUAUAGAAAGACUGGGUCCUCACAAGUCUGCAAUUUGCAAGGUGCUCAAAGAAAGUCACGAGGUCGUUCGUCGGAAGUGGAACGACGCGUCGAUUCGUCGAUGAACAUUGUUUUGCCACGCUCACGGCGAUACCGUGCAUCGGAUCACAUGUGCACGAAUCUAUGUUCCUCUAUGCUUAUUUAUUAAAUGCUUUAUUUAUUAAAUUAAUGGAUGUUUAUUGAUUGAAUGUUUGUUCAUUUAAUCGACGUUUAUUUGUGUUGUACGCGAGGGGUUCACGCAAUGUGAAGACAAAAAUCGAAUAAAAACUCAGAAUCGUGACAAUUCAACGGAUGGUUGUGGGGGUCGAGAGUGAAUCGUUAACCACUCACCGUUAUACAUUCGCGUUUGGAAUUCUUGCAUCGCGCUGUCAAAGCAUAGCCCCGGGUGGGAAGAGUGACUUCACAUCGCUUGUUGUGUGUACUCACUUCGAUAGGCGUCUUUUGUCCGCAUUUGGGGAGUUUGCUAGUAGCGAUUUUUUUUUCUCAUCUCGAAAGUUCACAAGUCGACGAAGGUGAGACGCUCACAGAGUCUCGCGUUCGUCGGUCGCGAUGGAACGACGCAUCGCGAUCGCCCCGGGAAUACGACGUCGGAGAACCGCUUCUUAAGUAAAUGUUUCGUCAUUUGCUGGUCCUCUUCAAUCCACCUUAGGACACAUUUUCUA